GGAACCUGUGUUGGCGCCCUCGCCCUGGCCUGGGCCCUGCCGGCGAUGGGCGGCCAGCAAGCCCGAUGGUGGGGGAGCAAUACAGCGGGGGCGGGCAGAGGGCGGGGCUGCUGCCAGAUCUAGUCAGACAGGUGGAGCUGCCGGGGCAGGAGUCUCAAAGAGCCAGGCUCCAGGAGAGGAAGGGCUCUGCCAGAGGAGAGAGGAGAGCGCUGGAGAGGACAGGCUGGAGAGUCCUUAGCCAGGAUGGAGGCUGUUGUGAACUUGUACCAAGAGAUGAUGAAGCACGCAGAUCCCCGGAUCCAGGGCUACCCUCUGAUGGGGUCCCCUUUGCUAAUGACCUCCAUCCUCCUGACCUACGUGUACUUCGUUCUCUCACUUGGGCCUCGCAUCAUGGCUAAUCGGAAGCCCUUCCAGCUCCGUGGCUUCAUGAUUGUCUACAACUUCUCACUGGUGGCACUCUCCCUCUACAUUGUCUAUGAGUUCCUGAUGUCGGGCUGGCUGAGCACCUAUACCUGGCGCUGUGACCCUGUGGACUAUUCCAACAGCCCUGAGGCACUUAGGAUGGUUCGGGUGGCCUGGCUCUUCCUCUUCUCCAAGUUCAUUGAGCUGAUGGACACAGUGAUCUUUAUUCUCCGAAAGAAAGAUGGGCAGGUGACCUUCCUACAUGUCUUCCAUCACUCUGUGCUUCCCUGGAGCUGGUGGUGGGGGGUAAAGAUUGCCCCGGGAGGAAUGGGCUCUUUCCAUGCCAUGAUAAACUCUUCUGUGCAUGUCAUAAUGUACCUGUACUACGGAUUGUCUGCCUUUGGCCCUGUGGCACAACCCUACCUUUGGUGGAAAAAGCACAUGACAGCCAUUCAGCUGAUCCAGUUUGUCCUGGUCUCACUGCACAUCUCCCAGUACUACUUUAUGUCCACCUGUAACUACCAGUACCCAGUCAUUAUUCACCUCAUCUGGAUGUAUGGCACCAUCUUCUUCGUGCUGUUC
rnacentral:sRNA from 1 species